rnacentral:rRNA from 1 species
GUCUCAAAGAUUAAGCCAUGCAUGUCUAAGUAUAAGCAAUCUAUACGGUGAAACUGCGAAUGGCUCAUUAAAUCAGUUAUCGUUUAUUUGAUAGUACCUUACUACAUGGAUAACCGUGGUAAUUCUAGAGCUAAUACAUGCUAAAAACCCCGACUUCGGAAGGGGUGUAUUUAUUAGAUAAAAAACCAGCGCCCUUCGGGGCUCCUUGGUGAUUCAUGAUAACUCAACGAAUCGCAUGGCCUUGCGCCGGCGAUGGUUCAUUCAAAUUUCUGCCCUAUCAACUUUCGAUGGUAGGAUAGUGGCCUACCAUGGUAUCAACGGGUAACGGGGAAUUAGGGUUCUAUUCCGGAGAGGGAGCCUGAGAAACGGCUACCACAUCCAAGGAAGGCAGCAGGCGCGCAAAUUACCCAAUCCCGACACGGGGAGGUAGUGACAAUAAAUACUGAUACAGGGCUCUUUCGGGUCUUGUAAUUGGAAUGAGUACAAUUUAAAUCCCUUAACGAGGAACAAUUGGAGGGCAAGUCUGGUGCCAGCAGCCGCGGUAAUUCCAGCUCCAAUAGCGUAUAUUAAAGUUGUUGCAGUUAAAAAGCUCGUAGUUGAACCUUGGGCCUGGCUGGCCGGUCCGCCUCACCGCGUGUACUGGUCCGGCCGGGCCUUUCCUUCUGGGGAGCCGCAUGCCCUUCACUGGGCGUGCCGGGGAACCAGGACUUUUACUUUGAAAAAAUUAGAGUGUUCAAAGCAGGCCUUUGCUCGAAUACAUUAGCAUGGAAUAAUAGAAUAGGACGUGUG